rnacentral:lncRNA from 1 species
CUUUUUUUUUGGAGCUGUAUGCGAUAAUGCCACCCGAUUUAAUUUACUUGGGAGAAGGGGAUGGGUGGGGUCGAUGUAGCACUACCUUUAGGCUUGUUUUGUUUUAAGGAGCUUUUUCACUUGUAUUUGGUCUCUAUUGCUGAUAUGGACACAGAAACAUCCAUUGGUCUAAUAUAACUAUUUGCCAGCCUUUGCUCUCUGUCUUCCUUGUUCAUAUUCCUUGAAAAACGGACUUAAAGUCAUGUUGUGAGGGAGGCAAUUCAUAUUUCAUGUUGUCAGGGAGGCAAUUCAUACUUGGAUGGAUUGUGUUGGGUGGAAAAGAAAUUGGUUACAUUGGGUAGAAUGACACAGAGCUGGGUGAAUUUUGGUCCCUGACAUAUAGCUAUAUUAAUUCCACUCUACAAUCUUCUCCCGCCAAAAAAAAGACGGAGAAAAUAAGUAAUCCACUAAACCCAAGAACCAACUUAUACGUGUAGGAGGUUGUUAGAGAAAGGGAUUCAAAAGUAAGAACAUUCAACAAAGAUGCAGCACUACUACACACAGCAUUGUAAUAUUACUCUAGAACUCAUUGUUUACCUUCUAGUUCCUUCAAUCAGUAGCGGAUCCAGGAUUUUAAAGUUAUGGGUGCUCGCCGAUAAAAAACUUCAAAAGAAG